CACGGGCCUAGAUUGGCGCUGGCCUCGGGGUUUGUGGCAACCGGGACAGCACUUUCACGCAAGCCCUCCUCAGGUCGACAUUAUUACACGGUCAAUUAAGUCGGUUCAACGGGCGCGAGCUCGAGCAAACAGCGGGGGCGAUUGUUUUCCGCUGCCCUCCCCAACUAGCUUGCUAAUUACUCCGUGGACUGCCCCUAACCUGGAUGCAUUCUGAAGGGCUCUGCUGACCCCGUAAUUAAAGCUUGAACCUCCCCAAAAGGAAAUCAGAAUGAAAGGCCCUGAGGUGACCAACUUAAAACAGGUGACUCGUUUUGGAAACAAAACAAACACAAGAAGGGGAUUUGGGCUGGAGGCAGCUGUGGAUCCUGCACGCUCAGCUGGUGACGCACAAAGAAACAGGUGACAGCGUCGGGAUGUUUGCCCUGCAAGGGUGCCGCCACGUGCUUCUUUCCCCUGGAACGAGCUCUCUCAGUAAAAUCUGCACCUGGCCUGGUGGUCUUGGCAACAUUGGACAACCUCUAGCAGAUGUUCUCCUUUCUUUUGUCGAUGACUUCGCGGUGGCUGCUCCGCAAGACAAAACUGUGGAUCAACUCAUGGCUUCCUCUGCUGCAGAGAUCAUUAAUGAUAAUGAAGCUUUACUCAGUCACUGGAUCCGGGGUGAAAGUUGCCCUUUGGCUGUGUGACAGACAGGAAGAAAGGGACGCUCAGGCUAGUGUGAAGGUAUAGUGAAUUAAAGAAACAAUACAGGUCAAAAUUUAAGGCUUUUACUUCAGGGAGUCACUGAUAUGCACACACAAACCUGUUUAGGGAUAUCUGGAGUGCGUAUUCAUGGACAAUGCGUAGUACAUACCAGAAAAAUAUCAUUUAUGGAAUCAGUUAAUAAAGAUGGACUGAUA